rnacentral:rRNA from 1 species
GAUGAACGCUGGCGGCGUGCCUAAUACAUGCAAGUCGAGCGAACGGACGAGAAGCUUGCUUCCCUGAUGUUAGCGGCGGACGGGUGAGUAACACGUGGAUAACCUACCUAUAAGACUGGGAUAACUUCGGGAAACCGUAGCUAAUACCGGAUAAUAUUUUGAACCGCAUGGUGCAAAAGUGAAAGACGGUCUUGCUGUCACUUAUAGAUGGAGCCGCGCUGCAUUAGCUAGUUGGUAAGGUAACGGCUUACCAAGGCAACGAUGCAUAGCCGACCUGAGAGGGUGAUCGGCCACACUGGAACUGAGACACGGUCCAGACUCCUACGGGAGGCAGCAGUAGGGAAUCUUCCGCAAUGGGCGAAAGCCUGACGGAGCAACGCCGCGUGAGUGAUGAAGGUCUUCGGAUCGUAAAACUCUGUUAUUAGGGAAGAACAUAUGUGUAAGUAACUGUGCACAUCUUGACGGUACCUAAUCAGAAAGCCACGGCUAACUACGUG